rnacentral:rRNA from 1 species
CACGUAGGGCGCAAGCGUUGUCCGGAAUUAUUGGGCGUAAAGAGCUCGUAGGCGGACUGUCACGUCUGCUGUGAAAAGCUGGGGCUUAACCCUGGCCUUGCAGUGGAUACGGGCAGACUAGAGGUAGGUAGGGGAGAAUGGAAUUCCCGGUGUAGCGGUGAAAUGCGCAGAUAUCGAGAGGAACACCGGUGGCGAAGGCGGCCUUCUGGACGGUGACUGACGCUGAGACGCGAAAGCGUGGGGAGCAAACAGG